CGCGCCGAAUCCAUCACAAAAAGAAAAAAUAAAGAAAAUAAAGAAAAAAACGCCACCGCCAUCUAGCGGUCAAAUUUGGAAACUACCCCUAAAAUUCUCACCUAAAUUUCUCACAAGAACACUACUCACAAUUCACUGUGCUGGUUAUUUCCCAUUUCCUUGGCGUUUCUAUACAAAAUCCUUAUAUAAAUGAAGUGAAAUGGUUUUUUUAUAUUUUAUUUUUUUGUGUGAUGGAUUCGGCGCGCCAUACUUUGCUUGCCAAUUCCUUCAAAAUAUUUUUUUUGAUUGUAUGACAUAAUUGCUUUGAUCAAAAUUUAUGUUAAAAGGGUCCAUUAUUUUGAAUGAAAUGAUUUUUUGUAUGUUAAAUCAUGUUUAUUUUAGAGACUUCCUCAUUCAAAUGAGUAAUAGUGUUAAAUAUUCAUUGAAUCUACAGUAAGAUCAACGUGAAUAAAUAGUGGAAAGCAAAAAGACACCUAGUAGAGGAAUUUUGUACUGCUUUAUUAAAUCAUGCUGUGUCGUCUGCGUUCCUCGUGGCUAGCUUUCACCUCACGUUUCACUGUUUUGUCGGCGGUGUAUUGCUCUGUUAAUGGUCGAAAUAUAGAAAAGUGAGAUUGCUUUGAUUUUCUUAUGACUGUUAGUGAAAUAUUUUUUAUUUAGAAUAUUUAAAAUAGAGAAGAAACAAAAAAGCUGUCAUAGUACAGAGUGCAUCAACAAUUUUUGAGUUUGUAUGUCAUUUACUCAUUUCUCAAACUGAAAGACAUCAACAGGCAAUGAGACAGCAGUGAAGCUGCUACAUAAAUAAGUAGGAAAAGAUGCGCACAAACAUUGACGAGAAUACAAAAUUGGCUCGGAAUAUUUAUUAGACCAUAAUUCCAAUUUACUGUUUUUUAGAGCUGGUGCCCUUUCAACAACGGACCCAAUGACCAACUGAGCUUUGAGACCAAGUCUUUUAUGAAAUAAAAAACUACUUCAGCGCAAUUACCAGUUGUCAAGCUGAGUUAAAAUCAGAAAGGACAACUUGAAAUAUUCCAUAUCAUCAAGGCGUUGAUACCAGUAGUUGAGAUGGAGAAUCACUGCUUUUGCAAUUACAGUAGAGAAAUAAUGGAAAUAAAAGGUGGACGAUGCUAAAUUUCGUCGAUUGACCGCCCAUAUUCAAAUCGUGCAUCAAUCUGACAUUCUGAUGCCCUUGCCAAUGAAAGUGAAGCGGCGACAGGGAUCAGCAUCAGCGGCCCUAUCCAAAUCAACAGCAGCUGCCGAGUGGUCCUUGGAUCGCGAAAUUACUUGCCAGUUUAGUGUCGCCUAUACGCCAAUUAUUUCUUUGGUCGACUGCGUUGCAUCGGAGUCUCAACAUCACCGCGAUUAGUUGCCAGAAGGAACACAGAUAUCCUACAGGGAGAUUGAGUCUUUAGUAGAUUGGUCUUAGUUCGCCCCCAGUUAAUCUGGCUGAACAAAUUGAGUCGCAGCAGGAAACUUCUUGUGAUUUUUCCAUGGAAAUAGAUAUGGAAUUCGAUUACAUGUUGCAGAGUUUAGAUCGUGGACCGAAUCAUUCAUUUGGCUGAAGAAGAUGUCGGUUCUCUCGGAUGACUCGGCGUAAUAUCUCACACAUCUUGUCCAGGAGCAACUCACUCCCACCAUUUGGGGGUCCAAAAUUCCGCUGAAUUCAUGUAGAAGGAUCGAUACGAACGUUGUUCACCCUUUCAUUCGUGGCGCCAUUUGUGAAUACCAAUUAUGUAUAGGAAGAGAUGGAUACUUUGCACCAAAAUUCAUG